CCUACGGGUGGCAGCAGUGGGGAAUAUUGGACAAUGGGCGAAAGCCUGAUCCAGCCAUGCCGCGUGUGUGAAGAAGGCCUUCGGGUUGUAAAGCACUUUCAGUGGGGAAGAAAGCCUUGGGGCCAAUACCCUCGAGGAAGGACAUCACCCACAGAAGAAGCACCGGCUAACUCCGUGCCAGCAGCCGCGGUAAUACGGAGGGUGCGAGCGUUAAUCGGAAUUACUGGGCGUAAAGCGCGCGUAGGCGGUCUGAUAAGCCGGUUGUGAAAGCCCCGGGCUCAACCUGGGAACGGCAUCCGGAACUGUCAGGCUAGAGUGCAGGAGAGGAAGGUAGAAUUCGCGGUGUAGCGGUGAAAUGCGUAGAGAUCGGGAGGAAUACCAGUGGCGAAGGCGGCCUUCUGGACUGACACUGACGCUGAGGUGCGAAAGCGUGGGUAGCAAACAGGAUUAGAUACCCUAGUAGUC
rnacentral:rRNA from 1 species